CGCUUUAAGAGGAGUUCGCGGCCUAUCAGCUUGUUGGCGAGGUAACGGCUCACCAAGGCAAAGACGGGUAGCUGGUCUGAGAGGAUGAUCAGCCACACUGGAACUGAGAAACGGUCCAGACACCUACGGGUGGCAGCAGUUUCGAAUUAUUCACAAUGGCCGAAAGCCUGAUGGUGCGACGCCGCGUGAGGGAUGAAGGUCUUCGGAUUGUAAACCUCUGUCACCGGGGAGGAAUUUUUUUGGACCAACACUCCAAAAGUUGACUUAACUCGGAGAGGAAGCAGUGGCUAACUCUGUGCCAGCAGCCGCGGUAAUACAGAGACUGCAAGCGUUAUCCGGAUUCACUGGGCGUAAAGGGUGUGCAGGCGGCAAAGUGUGUGGAGUGUGAAAGCCCGAGGCUCAACUUCGGAACUGCACUCCAAACUAUUUUGCUAGAGCAUUGGAGAGAGUAGCAGAAUUCACGGUGUAGCAGUGAAAUGCGUAGAUAUCGUGAGGAAUACCAGAGGCGAAGGCGGCUACUUGGACAAUUGCUGACGCUCAAACACGAAAGCGUGGGGAGCAAAAGGGAUUAGAAACCCCUGUAGUCCACGCCCUAAACGGUGCAUACUAGGUCUCGGCUGGUUCGACCCAGUCGGGGCUCAAGCUAACGCGUUAAGUAUGCCGCCUGAGGACUACGGCCGCAAGGCUAAAACUCAAAGGAAUUGACGGGGGCCCGCACAAGCGGUGGAGUAUGUGGCUUAAUUCGAUGCCACGCGAAGAACCUUACCUAGCCUUGACAUGCAAUAGAUAGGUGUUGAAAGACACUCUUCCUUCGGGACUCUUGCACAGGUGCUGCAUGGCUCGUCAGCUCGUGUCGUGAGAUGUUGCGUUAAGUCGCGCAACGAGCGCAACCCCUGUCUCUAGUUGCCAUCAUUAAGUUGGGCACUCUAGAGAGACAAACCCUCUUUGAGGGUGGGAAGGUGGGGAUGACGUCAAGUCAGGAUGGCCCUUACGGCUAGGGCUGCACACGUACUACAAUGUCCGGUACAACGGGAAGCAAUGUCGCGAGACUGAGCAAAUCCUAAAAACCGGACCCAGUUCAGAUUGUAGUCUGCAACUCGACUACAUGAAGUUGGAAUCGCUAGUAAUGGCGCAUCAGCUACGGCGCCGUGAAUACGUUCCCGGGCCUUGUACACACCGCCCGUCACGUCAUGAAAGCCGGUUUCGCCCGAAGUAUGUUUGCAAACCAGCAAUGGAUGCGGCGUCCU
rnacentral:rRNA from 1 species